rnacentral:sRNA from 1 species
UCGACAGCUUGGGGAGAAUGAAAUAACCUCAACAUCCCCAGAGUGUGGACAGCAGCAGGGCAAGCUUCCUCAUGUAUGCCUUCGCUACUAUGCCUUAAACCUGAGCUGGAAGGAUGACUUAUAGGAAUGGGGUGUUCUGUCUCCAUGGUCUGUAGUCAGUCCUUGAUCCGU